rnacentral:piRNA from 1 species
UCAUUGCUGUGCAGAUUCCUU